CCUACGGGGGGCAGCAGUGAGGAAUAUUGGUCAAUGGGCGAGAGUCUGAACCAGCCAAGUAGCGUGAAGGAUGACUGCCCUAUGGGUUGUAAACUUCUUUUAUAUGGGAAUAAAAUGUUCCACGUGUGGGAUUUUGUAUGUACCAUAUGAAUAAGGAUCGGCUAACUCCGUGCCAGCAGCCGCGGUAAUACGGAGGAUCCGAGCGUUAUCCGGAUUUAUUGGGUUUAAAGGGAGCGUAGGUGGAUUGUUAAGUCAGUUGUGAAAGUUUGCGGCUCAACCGUAAAAUUGCAGUUGAAACUGGCAGUCUUGAGUACAGUAGAGGUGGGCGGAAUUCGUGGUGUAGCGGUGAAAUGCGUAGAUAUCACGAAGAACACCGAUUGCGAAGGCAGUUCACUGGACUGCAACUGACACUGAGGCUCGAAAGUGUGGGUAUCAAACAGGAUUAGAUACCCUUGUAGUC
rnacentral:rRNA from 1 species